GAUGAACGCUGGCGGCGUGCCUAAUACAUGCAAGUCGAGCGAACGGACGAGAAGCUUGCUUCCCUGACGUUAGCGGCGGACGGGUGAGUAACACGUGGAUAACCUACCUAUAAGACGGGGAUAAAUUCGGGAAACCGGAGCUAAUACCGGAUAAUAUUUUGAACAGCAUGGUUCAAAAGUUAAAGACGUUCUGGCUGUCACUUAUAGAUGGAUCCGCGCUGCAUUAGCUAGUUGGUAAGGUAACGGCUUACCAAGGCAACGAUGCAUAGCCGACCUGAGAGGGUGAUCGGCCACACUGGAACUGAGACACGGUCCAGACUCCUACGGGAGGCAGCAGUAGGGAAUCUUGCGCAAUGGGCGAAAGCCUGACGGAGCAACGCCGCGUGAGUGAUGAAGGUCUUCGGAUCGUAAAACUCUGUUAUUAGGGAAGAACAUAUGUGUAAGUAACUGUGCACAUAUUGACGGUACCUAAUCAGAAAGCCCCGGCUAACUACGUG
rnacentral:rRNA from 1 species